rnacentral:rRNA from 1 species
UACGUAGGGUGCGAGCGUUGCCCGGAUUUAUUGGGCGUAAAGGGCGCGUAGGCGGCUCGACACGUUCGUUGUGAAAUCGCCCGGCUCAACUGGGCGGGGUCAGCGAAUACGGUCGAGCUUGAGCAAGCUAGGGGGCAAUGGAAUUCCCGGUGUAGUGGUGGAAUGCGUAGAUAUCGGGAGGAACACCAGUGGCGAAGGCGGUUGCCUGGGGCUUUGCUGACGCUGAUGCGCGAAAGCGUGGGGAGCAAACGGG